GACAUGUCGGUGUUGUGUGGAGAUUCAGAGAUGGGACAAUACGGGGGGGUCUUCAUACCUGUGUCCCAAGGCAGCCUACCAUCAUGUGGGAUGACGUUAUCAACGCUGUCGUCUGCUUGGUUAUCUGGGAGAUGGAUUGUUGAGACCGCUGCUCCACGGGCCAAACCAAACGGGAGAAAUCUGCUUCCUAUUACAGGCUGUUCAGCCAAGAGUCCCACUCCGGUCCUCCUCCGGAAUGUUCUUUCUAACACACUUCUGAGGGGCGGGAAUGUUUGGGAACUUGGAGCAGAACAAACUGAACCCUCACAGACAUCACAGAGCAGUCUAGGCCAGCCCAGAGAGGGAUUGAGGGAGGCCAAUUCAUCUAUAUCCAAAGAAAGAGGUCAUGGCUGGAUAGAACCUGAUCCCUGAACUCUGACCUCCCUGCUAGAGGCUGACCUGAAGAGUGAGGUUCACACCUACAGAGCAGACUUGAGAAGAAGGGGGAGGACCCUUUAACUCACCUAAGUGAUUGUGUCCUACAGUCAUUUCACUCACACACCACAUUAUUACAUGGGUUCAAGUUCAGAUGCAACAGAAAUUAAGAGAAUAUAUGUUUUGGGGAAUUAAUAAAAAACAUAGAAUGUG